rnacentral:lncRNA from 1 species
GCCCGGACUCCUAUGGGAGCCGGGCUCCGCCCUCAGUUUCAACUGCUGGUAAGCUCCAUCCGGACUCCUACGAGAGCCGGACUUCGCCUUUAAUUUUAAAUUGCAGGAAGACUUCACCCGUGCUCUUAAGGGAGCCGAGCUUCAUCUCCGACGCCAACGACUACAGCCGCAAGCAGACUCCGCCCGGACUCCUACGAGAGCCGGGUUCCGCCCGCAACUUUGGCUCCGAGAGGGUUCCGCCCGGACUCCCCCGGGAGUCGGGCUCCACCCACGACCCCAACCGCCAGGAGGACCUCUCCCGGACCUCAACAGAAAUCGGGCUCCGGCCACUGCCGAGCUUCAAUCGAUAGAUCCACGCCCC